rnacentral:lncRNA from 1 species
AUUUCUUUUGCCGCUAUAUAAAUUCACAGCUCUUAUUCCAGUAGCAUUGAAUCAGAACCUUUUUUUUCUUGUAUGAGAGAAGUAAAGAGAGUGAAGAAAUGAAUGAACGCAGCACGCCAACAUCUGCAGGCAAAGGUUAUGGCAUGCCCACCUCAACUUCCUUUGCUAAACACCCGCUGCCACGGGGGCAGACCAAGAACAAGAUGUUACUCGGGGUACUCCAAUUCUUAUCAGCGUCAUCAAGCUCGAAAAAGUGAAGGCUUUACUGAAAGAAUGGGAGACGUCAUUUUCUUUCAAUUGAUGGAAAUUUCCCUCUGUAGCACUAUGUAAUAAAAAUCCAUGGGCUUUAUGGGUUUUGUUUUUCAGAAAGGUAGGAUGCCUUGUAUUAUGUAAUUGUUUCGUCAUCGAGUUUCGGCUUGGUCUCCCUUGCCUUGCUCUUGCUAUUGUCUCAGCUUUUCUCCUUGUUUGCUCUCUUAUCCCUCUGUAGCACUGUGUAAUAAAAUCCAUGGGCUACAUGAGUUUUGUUUUUCAGAAAGGUAGGAUGCCUUGUAUUAUGUAAUUGUUUCGUCAUCAAGUUUCGGCUUGGUCUCCCUUGCCUUGCUCUUGCUAUUGCUACUGUCUCAGCUUUUCUCCUUGGUUGCUCUCAUUAUCCCUCUGUUGCACUAUGUAAUAAAAUCCAUGGGCUUCAGGGGUUUUGUUUUUCAGAAAGGUAGGAUGCGCCUUGUAUUAUGUAAUUGUUUCGCCAUCGAGUUUCGGCUUAGUCUCCCUUGCCUUGCUCUUGCUAUUGUCUCAGCUUUUCUCCUUGUUUGCUCUCUUAUCCCUCUGUAGCACUGUGUAAUAAAAUCCAUGGGCUACAUGAGUUUUGUUUUUCAGAAAGGUAGGAUGCCUUGAAUUAUGUAAUUGUUUCGUCAUCGAGUUUCGGCUUAGUCUCCCUUGCCUUGCUCUUGCUAUUGCUACUGUCUCAGCUUUUCUCUCCUUGGUUGCUCUCAUUAUCCCUCUGUUGCACCAUGUAAUAAAAUCCAUGGGCUUCAUGGGUUUUGUUUUUCAGAAAGGUAGGGUGCCUUGUAUUAUGUAAAUGUUUACCCCUUCGUCAUCGAGUUUUGCCUUAGUCUCCUUGCCUUGCUCUUGCUACUGUCUCAGCUUUUCUCCUUGGUUGCUCUCAUUAGCUGUCCAAGGUAUCUGAUAAUAUGGCCUGAGUAAUCAGGGGGGGAAGUGUUAAACCUUCUUGCUU